rnacentral:rRNA from 1 species
UGUUUAACAAAAACAUAGCUUAAUGUAUCGUAUAUUAGGUAUUAACUGCUCAUUGAUAAAUUAUUAAAAAGCCGCAGUAAACUGACUGUGCUAAGGUAGCAUAAUAAAUUGGCCUUUAAUUGGGGUCUUGAAUGAAUGGAGUCAUAUGAGGAAGCUGUCUCAUUAAUACUAUUUUGAACUUAUUUCAUUAGGUGAAAAUACCUAUGAUCCAAACAGAUAGACGAGAAGACCCUCAGAAUUUUUAUAAAAUUAGCAACCAGAUUAGGUUUCCUUUAAUUUUAUUUGUUGGGGCGACAAUUAAUCAUUCAAACAUUAAUAUUAUAUUAAUCAUACUACAUGAACAAGAAUGAUACGCGUGAGUGAAUUACCUGAGGGAUAACAGCAUAAUAUUAUUAAGUUAAUGUUUAUGACCUCGAUGUUGGACUAGGAUAGGUAAGGGCUAGCAGUCACUACUAAUAGGUUCUGUUCGAACUUUGUCUCCUACGUGAUCUGAGUUCAGAG